CUGAAAAACUAUUGAGUUUUUUUAAUAUCCCUUUGUUUACCUUCCCUGUUGCUUCCACCAGAGGAAGUUCUCUUCCACUGGUGGCAAGAUUCUAUAAACAAAAAUUUUGUGAAUUAAAUGUCUGAUAAAAGUGGAAAAAUAGAAAUA
rnacentral:misc_RNA from 1 species